UACGUAUGGGGCGAGCGUUGUCCGGAAUCAUUGGGCGUAAAGCGCGUGUAGGCGGCCCGGUAAGUCCGCUGUGAAAGUCCAGGGCUCAACCCUGGGAUGCCGGUGGAUACUGUCGGGCUAGAGUCCGGAAGAGGAGUGUGGAAUUCCUGGUGUAGCGGUGAAAUGCGCAGAUAUCAGGAGGAACACCAAUGGCGAAGGCAGCACUCUGGGACGUGACUGACGCUGAGACGCGAAAGCGUGGGGAGCAAACAGG
rnacentral:rRNA from 1 species